rnacentral:rRNA from 1 species
UGGGGAAUAUUGCACAAUGGGGGAAACCCUGAUGCAGCGACGCCGCGUGAGCGAAGAAGGUUUUCGAAUCGUAAAGCUCUGUCCUAUGGGAAGAUAAUGACGGUACCAUAGGAGGAAGCCCCGGCUAACUACGUGCCAGCAGCCGCGGUAAUACGUAGGGGGCAAGCGUUGUCCGGAAUCACUGGGCGUAAAGGGUUCGCAGGCGGAAAUGCAAGUCAGUUGUGAAAGGCAGAGGCUCAACCUCUGUAAGCAAUUGAAACUGUAUUUCUUGAGAUGUGGAGAGGCAAGUGGAAUUCCUAGUGUAGCGGUGAAAUGCGUAGAUAUUAGGAAGAAUACCGGUGGCGAAGGCGACUUGCUGGACACAAUCUGACGCUGAGGAACGAAAGCGUGGGUAGCAAACAGG